rnacentral:rRNA from 1 species
CCCUGCCAUUUGUACACACCGCCCGUCGCUCCUACCGAUUGAAUGGUCCGGUGAAGUUUUCGGAUUGCGGCGAUGCCGGCGGUUCGCCGCCGGUGACGUUGGGAGAAGUUCAUUAAACCUUAUCAUUU